rnacentral:rRNA from 1 species
UGCGUAGGCGGAAUAUUAAGUCAGUGGUGAAAUCCUGCAGCUUAACUGUAGAACCGCCAUUGAUACUGGUAUUCUUGAAUUUAGUUAAGGUGGGCGGAACGUGUAAUGUAGCGGUGAAAUGCUUAGAUAUUACACAGAACACCGAUUGCGAAGGCAGCUCACUAAACUAACAUUGACGCUGAGGCACGAAAGCGUGGGUAGCGAACAGGAUUAGAUACCCUGGUAGUCC